UUGGAGGGCAAGUCUGGUGCCAGCAGCCGCGGUAAUUCCAGCUCCAAUAGCGUAUAUUAAAGUUGUUGCAGUUAAAAAGCUCGUAGUUGAACUUCGGGAUCAAUGGAUUGGUCAUGCCGUUGGUAUGUAUUGGUCGUAUUGGUUCUCACCUUCUAAGGAACCAUAAUGUCAUUAAUUUGAUGUUUUGGGGAAUUAGGACUGUUACCUUGAAAAAAUUAGAGUGUUUAAAGCAGGCUAACGCUUGAAUACAUUAGCAUGGAAUAAUGAAAUAGGACAUCGCAUUCUAUUUUGUUGGUUUCUAGGAUCGAUGUAAUGAUUAAUAGGGAUAGUUGGGGGCAUUAGUAUUCAAUUGUCAGAGGUGAAAUUCUUGGAUUUAUUGAAGACUAACUACUGCGAAAGCAUUUGCCAAGGAUGUUUUCAUUAAUCAAGAACGAAAGUUAGGGGAUCGAAGACGAUCAGAUACCAUCGUAGUCUUAACCAUAAACUAUGCCGACUAGGGAUCGGAUGAUGUUGAUUUUUUAAUGACUCAUUCGGCGCCUUACGGGAAAC
rnacentral:rRNA from 1 species